UCUUUUCAUUGUGUGCCAGCCGCCGCGGUAAUACGGAAGGUCCGGGCGUUAUCCGGAUUUAUUGGGUUUAAAGGGAGCGUAGGCCGGAGAUUAAGCGUGUUGUGAAAUGUAGACGCUCAACGUCUGCACUGCAGCGCGAACUGGUUUCCUUGAGUACGCACAAAGUGGGCGGAAUUCGUGGUGUAGCGGUGAAAUGCUUAGAUAUCACGAAGAACUCCGAUUGCGAAGGCAGCUCACUGGAGCGCAACUGACGCUGAAGCUCGAAAGUGCGGGUAUCGAACAGG
rnacentral:rRNA from 1 species